CUGCAUGGUUUGUCUCCCCAGUAACGGCCCAAAGGACUCUGGGAAGGCGUAGGAAUAUGCAGGACGCUUGCCGCGCCGGCUGACGGGCAGCCGGGGGCGGAGCUUACUGUCCGACAUUGUGGAACGGGAUUGGACGUCACGGCUCAGAGCUGCGCUCCCAUUGGCCACCAGGACAGAGCUGAAGGCCACGCCCCCAGGUGUCCAUGUCGGGAACUGGAGCUGCACCAGUUCACACUGGGAAUAUUGACGCAUAAACAGGAAAUGCGAAACGUCCAGAUCAGAGCCUGGGACUUUGACACAGACAUGAAUGUUGUUGCUCAACCUUUAUGACACCCUAACCUCUAACCCCUAACCCUAACCUCUAACCCCUACCCCAACACCUCAGUGAUCAGAGGACAGCAAACGUUUUGAUAUUAAAUUAUGCUAAAUAAUAAAGACAUGAAAGCAGAGCCUCUGUGACCCAUGGCAGGUCGGAGAUCCCCAGGUUCAGGCAGCAGAUAUCAUGGCGUCCAACCGGGUCACUCCUCAGCUCUCCGGUUCGCCAAACCACAGAAAAAAAGCUCCAGAACCGGCGACCCGGCAGAACCGCACACGGUAAAAAGCUCAGGCGGGAUCCAAAUGGCUCUUAGAACUACAGGAGGAUCAAACUCCCUCAUUCACUUUCAGCUAACAGAAAAAACACC